AGCGGCUGUCCUCCCUCGCUUUUGGAGCUCCGACCUCAGCUUCGCCUGCGAGCUGGGUUGUGUAAAGGCUGGUCAUUUUGGGGCGCUUAGGGGUGGGUGCCGGGGGGCGCGCUUUCCCUCGUGAAGGUCGCUCCAGGAGUCAUGCGUACAUUCGUUCAUUUUGCUCUGGACGCACUGAUGUUCCCGGCUCGCCGCCGUGCCGCAGUCACGAGGCUCUCCGAACGCCUUUCACUGUGUUUCUGUUUACAUUCGCGUCUGCAAGACCCGGCGGCGCGACCGAGGCCCGAACAGCAUUAUUCACAAGAGCCAAAAAGUGGAAACAACCCAAAUACCCAUCAACUGAUGAAUGGAUGGAGAUGGGCUGCCAUGUUGUGAGCUGCCCCAUGGGGAAGAGGCUCACAUGUGAGGAACUGAGGGAGGCCUCCAGAAAACAGCCAGUGAAGAACUGAGACCCUCAGUCCAAUAGCCUAUGAGGAACUGAAUCCUGCUGACAACCAUAUGAAUGAGCUUGGAAGCAGAUCCUUCCCCAGUGAAGCCUUCAUGUGAGACUGCAGCCCACUUGACACUUUGAUUUGUAGCUUGUGACAGACCCCAAGCCAGAAGAGUCAGGUAAGCAGUGCCUGCACUCCUGACCCAUGGCAACUGGCAUGAUAAAUGUUUUUUCCCAUGAAGCUA
rnacentral:lncRNA from 1 species